GGAUACAGAGUUAAUAAAAUGUAACUGAUAAUAAUAAAAUAAAAGAAAAAAAAAGAUUUAAAGUACAGGUUCCAGUACCAUGCCACUUUUUAUUACUACUGCCCUAUAGUACUACUUGAGGUCUGGGAUGAAGAUGCCUUCAGAAAAUCUCUUAUUGUAAAGGCAUGUUUUUUUUUUUUUUUAUCUAUUCUGCAUUUUUUGUUUUUCUAUAUGAAACUGAGAAUUGCUCUUUCAAAGUCUGUACAGAGUUGUGUUGAUAUUUUGAUUGGAAAUGCAUUGAGUCUGUAGAUUUCUUUUCAUAGAGUGGCCAUUUUUCCUAUGUUAAUCCUAUCAAUCCUGGAGUAUGGGAAAUCUUUCCAUCCUCUGAUAUCUUCCUUGAAGUUUUUUUUUUCAUACAAGUCUCUCAUUUACUUGAUUAGAGUCACACCAAGGUAAAUUAUGUUAUUUGUGGCAAUUGUGAAGGGGUGUUGUUUCCCUGAUUUCUUUCUGAGCCUGUUUGUCUUUUGUAUACAGGAGGGCUUCAUAUUUUUUAAUUAAUUUUGUAUCCAGCCACUUUGCUGAAGAUGUUUAUCAUCUGUAGAGUUCCUUGGUUGAAUUUUUAGGGUCAUUCAUGUGUACUAUCACAUCAUCUGCAACACAAGCUGGACUGGAUGUGGAGAAAAAGGAACACGCUUCAUUGCUGGUGGGAAUGUAAACUUGUACAACCACUUUGGAAAUUAAUCUGGUGCUUUCUCAAAAAAAUUAUGUACAGUGUUUCUUCAAGAUUCAGCUAUACAACCCCUGGGCAUAUAUUCAGAAGAUGCUCAACCAUACAACAAGGACUUUUUUUCAACUAUACUCAUAGCAGCUUUUCUCAUAAUAGCCAGAAUCUGGAACCAACCUAGAUGUCCCACAAUUGAGGAAUGGAUUCAGAAAUUGAGAUAUAUUUAUGUUGGGCCUGAUAAGACCUGCCUCAUAUACCUGAGCCUAGCUCAUGUUUGGAGACCUGCCUUUAUCUUCUGAUUUAAGAGGUGCCACUUCUGGACAAAAGCGAUUUAGCAUAUCCACCUUAAAAUUAACCCUGCCUGUUAACUGUUAUAUGGAGUUUUGUCACUGGCCCACCUCUCCUUGCACCACUUAUCCUCACUCUCUACUUCACUUACUUAAUCCUGCACCUUGACCCAAACUUAUAAAAAAGACCACUAAAUUCAAUAAACCGAGAUCCUGGUUCUACAGAUCUCCCAGCUCAGUAGUGUUUUAUUCCCUGGGACAUCUGGGGAGAUUCAGGCCAUUGACAUUCAUCAUCCACGGAGGUCAUUCAGCUGGACUGGCCACCCUCAUCUCAGCUCUACCUGCCAGAUACUGACCCAGCACAUGGGGCCCCCUGUGAGUAUUCUGCUCGAGGGAAGAAUGCUGACAGGCCAACUGGUCUGCGGGAAAAAUGCUGCUUCUACGCCAACAAAUCGGGCAUUGUCAGAGAUCAAAUAAAAAUCCUCCAAGAAGACUUGGACAGAUGACGCUGAGAACAUCAAGAAAAACCCCUGUGGAUUGGCUUUCAUGGCUUCCUGCCUUAUAUUCUUCCUCUACUUGGACUCUUAUUUUUUCUCCUUCUCCUACUUACCCUUCGGCCAUGCAUUUUUAACAAGCUCGUGCAGUUUAUCCAGACAGUCAAGUCUACCUGAAGGCCCUGAUUGGCCAAUUUGUCUUGAGUGAUAUGAACACUUUUGUUAGGGUUAGAAUAUUCUGAAGGUACAUAGCCUAUUGGUUCCUGAUUCAGGUUAUCCUUUACAGGGACAAAACAUUUCUAGGUAUGCAGAGAUUUGUAAUUCAAUAACAUUUGGUGCCUUAUCUAAUAGCCUUCCUGUUUGUCUUUCCAUCCAGU